GCCAGCUGUGGUGGCGCACUCCUGUAAUCCCAGUGGCUCGGGAGGCUGAGACAGGAGGAUAGCAAGUUUAAAGCCAGCCUCAGCAAAAGUGAGGCACUAAGCAACUCAGUGAGACCCUGUCUCUA
rnacentral:sRNA from 1 species